CUCACUCACUCACUCACUCACUCACUCACUCACUCACUCACACGGACCUAGCUACUGCUUAAGUCUUCACCCAGGUGCUCUCUCUGUUCUCAGUCACUAGGCCUUCUGUUUCUCUUUUGCUAGGCUCUGUUUCUCCCUGUCUCAUGGUGAUUUCUCUGGCCUCGUUCUCUGAGACCAGUGAACCUGCCCCAGAGUUGCUACCAAUAAACCUGCUUUUAUAUUUUUAAUUUAGCUUGAUCUGACUUACUAAGUUUGCAGAGAAAUUUACUACCUGGGGCAGAAAUGUUUUACUAAUGUGCAGGGAGAGCUAGGACAGCACCUGAGAAGUUGGCAUGGUACUGCUAGCCAAGCCUUAGCCACUCUCACCUAACAAUUGUGAGACGUAAUGAAAUUGCCAAAAGGACUAAUUUCAAAGAAAUCACUUCAGUUGACUGCUGAAGGCAUUUCCUUUCCGUGCAUUCCAGACUGGAAUCACAGAGCUGGAAAUGCAGCCUCGCCCAGGAAAAAUGACUAAUUAUACAACUGUACAAAGUGCACAAUCUAAUCUCUGUGAAAGUACGCAUGGCCUCUCACCACCCCUGGAGCCUCGGAGCCUUGGAUGGCUUCUUAACCUCUGAAGAGGUCUUCCAACUGUUAGGGAAGCUAACAGGACAGAGGUCGUUAAAAGCUUUAUCUCUGGAGGUAGAAGGCCAAGUAAAAAUCAUGAUUCUUGAACCCCAAAUCUAUUGAGCUCUAGGACAAAGCACUUGGUCAACCCCAAGCCUUAACCUGCCAGUGUGUAAAGAAUCCCAGUAUUGGACUGAGGACGAGGUAGUGAAAAUGAGCUGUUAACCACUGUGGGUGGAGUGAAUAAUAAAUCCUUGGAAACCGAGCUAUCGAUGACAAAGAACUUUAUAUAAACUGUCUAAAAACAGCCUUGAUGGGAAGCUUGCGAUGGUUGGUUUGCCCUGCAGUCUUGAAAAAAAUUUUUUUCAAACCAUUAUUAGUAUUCAAAGUCAAGGGGAUGGCUCAGUGGGUAAAGACACUUGCCACCAAGCCUGAAAUGAGAGAUACAGUCGUUUCUUUUCCUACAGUUUUAAAAGCUGUAAACCCACUUUCCCUAAUGCUCCCAGUUCCUGAAAAGUCUGUUUGUUACUUGUUUGUCCAAGACACUUGUUGGACCAGGUGUAAUCUGCUCCCUGAACUGCUUAAACCUGUACCAUAGUCUAUAUUCUCCCUCAAUUCUCUGCCCCUUCUCGGGCCGCUUUCUAGCUUAGCCAAUUGGGAAUAGAUUGUGGGGUUAAACCUCGGCCACUGAGGAACAGCCUUCAGUUGAGGAUGAGACAGAGGAAAUUUUGGUCAUGUGUGAUCUACUGCUCAAGCAUGGCACACUUGUAACAAAAAAAAAAGCAUUGCCUUGCUGGGUAACUUUUGUCUGGUGGUGUGGUUAACUCAUUUUUUCUCUAUGAAUGCAAGCUUUAUUAUUAACGUACCUUCAAUAGACAUAAAUCACAACAACCCCCUGCCGCAACAAGGAAGUUGAAAAACACUAACAAAAAGAGCCUACUCUAGGGAGUCAGAAAUCCUGUGACAUUGCCAUCUCUGCUUUGGAACCCAGAAGAGAGUGUAAGACUCCUCAAGGCUUCUGAAUCAUCGGAGACUCCGGGGUCAUUUUGAGAGGACUCCUUGGGAUUCCGCCUCUUGGUGUUGAGUGGUAACUGUCCAUUUGCCAAUUCUUGUGGGCCUUAGACCACUGCUUAAGCUUCAUCUCGUGCCUUUUCUUGGAGAAGCAAACCCUAACGCAUCCUUUUGUCAGCUUGAGUUUGUCAGCAAAGGCCUCCAGUUUCCUCCUUUCUCAAAGUGCUGUUUUAGCUCCAUAACUACUCAGAGGUGAUCCCAGGGUUUCUAUCCCAGCGGGGCAGACUCGGAGUUGCCUCCCUCCAUCUCUAUCUUGGCCUCAGCUCAGUUGAGAUCCGUUCUUCAGUUUUCCAUGUGUUUCUUUUGGGACACCAAAAUACCAUCUUUCAAACAGAAAAACUGACUCCCAAAAGUUGUCCUCCAGUCUACAUGUGCCCCCCACACACACGCAAAUAAAUGUAAUCAAAGUCAGGGCAUCUCACUAAAGACUGGCACAUCCAGCCAAUCUGAAAAGCAGGACAUCUGGCCACCACCGGCCAGCAUUUUACCAUGGCAGAGUCUGUUUGGAGUGAGGAGAGUCUCACCUCUGUUGUCAUGGCGAUGACAGAAAGGCCGGGGAGUAAAGAUAGAACCUAGAACUGGGAACAGCAUUGACCCCAGGGUCCAAGGCCUAAGGAAGGAGGAGGAAAGAAAUGGUGACUCUGAAGAGAGCAAUGUGCAGGGCAGCCCAAACCAGGUGACUUAGACUGUGCUUGGGAGUGUCAGAGUUGUCUGGGGGAGCUCCAGAAAGAUGGUCCAUAGGCUUGCAGUUUAGAUGACAGGAGUUUCCGUAUGGUGGUCAGGAAUCUGGAACAGAACCCAAAAGGAGUGAAGCGGAGAAGUGGGGGCAUUCUCUUAGGAAGUGUGGUGUAGAAAGGGAAGCCUUGAAAACUCAGAAGCCAGCUCGAAUGAAAGGCACUGGUGCCGCAGUGUCUCCUAUUUUCUCUGCCAUGGUGUUUUCUAUUUUCUCAGUAAAGGCGUCUCACUCUGCCUAGUGAUGCAGAGGAAAUGCCGGGGAGGGCGAGAGGACGGAGCCAGAUCUAGAGCACACAUCAGGGUGAGUGCAGAAGGGGAGCAUUGACUCCAGGACUGCAGAAGUGAUAGUUAGCUGGGCCCAGAGGCAAUGCUAAUCCGGAUCCAUCUUAAAGUGGCCUUUGGUGGAUCUGUGCGACCGACUCCCUGCAAAGCACCAAUAGGGCGCUACUUUAAAGCCAUGCUCUGUGGUUAUGAGAGAAACCAGAGGAUAGUGGAUAUCUCUGUUCAACCCAGGACACGGGAAAGUUCUGGCAAUUGAGAAUGAAGAGGCUAAGUCGGUCAUAGGACUCAGUGAGGUGAACUGGUUCAGUGGGUCUGAGAACGCAGUGUUGAAAUCCAGUCCCCUUGGUGGCAGCAGUCCUUCCCCUAGCACAGGCACCUUCUGUGGCAUGGCCUUUUGAGUGUUGCAGACUUCCAGCUGCCAGGAUUUCUCACCGGAGGACAUGAGUUUACAUCAAAGAGAACAUUGGUCAGAAAGGAAAGCUGCAGACUUGUGUUGUGAAACCACUUUUUCUCAGAAAAGUAUUACUGCCACUUCUGCUACGUGGGCUCUUGACUCCUCUCCUCAUCUGUCUGUCCGUGGCAUUAAUAACUCUUCUAAUAAACGCCAUACUCUCAACAGUUCAUCUCGGUGGUAUCCCUCUUCAGCCCACAUCCAAGGCCUUUCUAGAGGAGCAAAUAUGAGAGAUGACUAGGGUCCACCAGGGAGAACGGGUUCCCCACAGGACACAUUUUACCGCAGUAGUGAAGACAUGAAAUCUCGUUCUGGCUCUGUUUACCACUUUGAUAUGCCAAGCACUGACUGGCCGCUCAUGACGCCAUCUCAGCUCAAAUGCUCCCAAGGAAAGUCAGAGAGCUUCCUUCACUCCCAUAAAGAAAGUGCUGAUAUUCUUGGAACUGCUACGGAAGCUGACUGCGUGCUGGCCUCAAAGCUUUGACAGCUUCCAGAGAAUCUUCAGAUCACACUCAACGAGCCACAGUGCAGUGAGACUGGAAGUCAACAGCAGGUGAGGCCAAAAGCCUUGUAUAAACCGGCGUCAGUCAGCGCAGCUGCUUCCGAGGAAAGGGCCAGGAAGUCAGACGAGACUUUUUUCUCUUUUCUCUUUUACUGUACACACCUAUUUGCAAAGAAAAAAAAAUUAAAAGUC
rnacentral:sRNA from 1 species